UUCAGUCUGAGAUAAAAACAU
rnacentral:piRNA from 1 species